AUAUCAAUAAGCGGAGGAAAAGAAACCAACAGGGAUUGCCUCAGUAACGGCGAGUGAAGCGGCAAAAGCUCAAAUUUGAAAUCCCUCAGGGAAUUGUAUUUUGAAGGUUGACAGAGAUUGAAGGAUUCUUCUUAAGUUCAUUGGAAAAUGACGCCAUAGAGGGUGAUAGCCCCGUGAAGAAACCAAAUCCAUCUAUUUCUCUGUUCUCCAAAGAGUCGAGUUGUUUGGGAAUGCAGCUCUAAGUGGGUGGUAAAUUCCAUCUAAAGCUAAAUAUUGGCGAGAGACCGAUAGCGAACAAGUACAGUGAUGGAAAGAUGAAAAGCACUUUGAAAAGAGAGUGAAAAAGUACGUGAAAUUGUUGAAAGGGAAGGGCUUGCAAGCAGACACAACCUCGUGUUGGGCCAGCAUCGGGGCGAGGGGAAGUAAAACAGUCAAGAAAUAUAACUCCCCUUCGGGGAGCAUUACAGUCUUUGUCCUACCACUUCCAUCUCAUCCCGAGGCCUGCGAAUUCUUCAAGGAUGCUGG
rnacentral:rRNA from 1 species